AGUGUGGAUGUGGCACUUGGGGAGAUGGUUUAGUGAUGGACUUGGAAGUGUUGGGUAAUGAUUGGAUUCUAUUUUAAAGGUCUUUUCCCACCUAAAUUAUCAUUCUAUAAACUUGAGUGGAGAUUUAUCCUCUCUUUGCUUCUUCCUCCCUCAACUGCACAAAAACAAUGAAUGUUUCCUCGCUCUCACUUUUCUACCAGUUUUUAAGGAGGGCUGAGUGAGGGAUGAAGAAGAAACUUUGGGAGUAACUUUGACGGGGAAAAUGGGCAAGCAAUGAAUCCUGCCGCUCCCUUUAGAAGGUGAAUGAGGGGUUUGAUUUUGAUGAGAGCUCAGGAUUCACAUGACCCAGGUGCUAAAGCCUGAAAUAGAGCCAGCCGGGGUGGGUUAGGCCUCCCCCACUCCUAGCUCUGGAGCACCUAAACUCCUUUAAAAUCCUUCUGAAGGCUCUGUUCUGAUGAAGAUGUGACUUGAAGGAAGCCUGUCCCAUCGGGCUGCACUGGGGUGAGGCAGGUGCAGCCACCCAGAACCUUCUGGAAGAUCCCUGGAGGAGGCAGCGGUGAGGCCAUGGAUUCUGCUCUUUACCUCAGCAGUUGGCAGCAGUUUAAGGGUAACUUGAAAUGCAUCUCUACGGUGGAGCAUGUUGCAGACAACUUAGAGGGAUUCAGGAUACUGAAGUGAGUCUAGAGAAAAUGAACAACCUGUAACAAGAAAUGCAGAAAGAGAUAUGGAUAAAUAUGCCAUUGAGAGGCAGACUCAGCAUGACUUUUCUGAAAGGAAAUCCUGACCUGGCUAUCUAUAAACUCCUUCAAAGGAAGUAAAGGUCCAAUGGAUACAAUCUAA